GAUCCGUUAGCUCAGUUGGUAGGGCACAACACUUUUAAUGUUGGGGGCUUGGGUUCUUUCAGUCGCUUUCGCUUUAUGAAAGCGUUUCUGCGAAACGAUGACGAGCCCCAAACGGAUCA
rnacentral:tRNA from 1 species